UACGGGGGGAGCAAGCGUUGUUCGGAUUUACUGGGCGUAAAGGGCGCGUAGGCGGCAUGACAAGUCACUUGUGAAAUCUCUGGGCUUAACCCAGAACGGCCAAGUGAUACUGUCGUGCUAGAGUACAGAAGGGGCAACUGGAAUUCUCGGUGUAGCGGUGAAAUGCGUAGAUAUCGAGAGGAACACCUGCGGCGAAGGCGGGUUGCUGGGCUGAUACUGACGCUGAGGCGCGAAAGCCAGGGGAGCGAACGGG
rnacentral:rRNA from 1 species